GACGAACGCUGGCGGCGUGCUUAACACAUGCAAGUCGAACGGAAAGGCCCUGCUUUUGUGGGGUGCUCGAGUGGCGAACGGGUGAGUAACACGUGAGUAACCUGCCCUUGACUUUGGCAUAACUUCAGGAAACUGGGGCUAAUACCGGAUAGGAGCUCCUGCUGCAUGGUGGGGGUUGGAAAGUUUCGGCGGUUGGGGAUGGACUCGCGGCUUAUCAGCUUGUUGGUGGGGUAGUGGCUUACCAAGGCUUUGACGGGUAGCCGGCCUGAGAGGGUGACCGGCCACAUUGGGACUGAGAUACGGCCCAGACUCCUACGGGAGGCAGCAGUGGGGAAUAUUGCACAAUGGGCGGAAGCCUGAUGCAGCAACGCCGCGUGCGGGAUGACGGCCUUCGGGUUGUAAACCGCUUUCGCCUGUGACGAAGCGUGAGUGACGGUAAUGGGUAAAGAAGCACCGGCUAACUACGUG
rnacentral:rRNA from 1 species